rnacentral:rRNA from 1 species
ACAUGCAAGUCGUACGCACUGGCCCAACUGAUUGAUGGUGCUUGCACCUGAUUGACGAUGGAUCACCAGUGAGUGGCGGACGGGUGAGUAACACGUAGGUAACCUGCCCCGGAGCGGGGGAUAACAUUUGGAAACAGAUGCUAAUACCGCAUAACAACAAAAGCCACAUGGCUUUUGUUUGAAAGAUGGCUUUGGCUAUCACUCUGGGAUGGACCUGCGGUGCAUUAGCUAGUUGGUAAGGUAACGGCUUACCAAGGCGAUGAUGCAUAGCCGAGUUGAGAGACUGAUCGGCCACAAUGGAACUGAGACACGGUCCAUACUCCUACGGGAGGCAGCAGUAGGGAAUCUUCCACAAUGGGCGCAAGCCUGAUGGAGCAACACCGCGGAGUGAAGAAGGGUUUCGGCUCGUAAAGCUCUGUUGUUGGAAAGAACGUGCGUAGAGUAACUGUUCACGCAGUGACGUAUCCAACCAGAAAGUCACGGCUAACUACGUGCCAGCAGCCGCGGUAAUACGUAGGUGGCAAGCGUUAUCCGGAUUUAUUGGGCGUAAAGCGAGCGCAGGCGGUUGCUUAGGUCUGAUGUGAAAGCCUUCGGCUUAACCGAAGAAGUGCAUCGGAAACCGGGCGACUUGAGUGCAGAAGAGGACAGUGGAACUCCAUGUGUAGCGGUGGAAUGCGUAGAUAUAUGGAAGAACACCAGUGGCGAAGGCGGCUGUCUGGUCUGCAACUGACGCUGAGGCUCGAAAGCAUGGGUAGCGAACAGGAUUAGAUACCCUGGUAGUCCAUGCCGUAAACGAUGAGUGCUAGGUGUUGGAGGGUUUCCGCCCUUCAGUGCCGGAGCUAACGCAUUAAGCACUCCGCCUGGGGAGUACGACCGCAAGGUUGAAACUCAAAGGAAUUGACGGGGGCCCGCACAAGCGGUGGAGCAUGUGGUUUAAUUCGAAGCUACGCGAAGAACCUUACCAGGUCUUGACAUCUUGCGCUAACCUUAGAGAUAAGGCGUUCCCUUCGGGGACGCAAUGACAGGUGGUGCAUGGCGUCGUCAGCUCGUGUCGUGAGAUGUUGGGUUAAGUCCCGCAACGAGCGCAACCCUUGUUACUAGUUGCCAGCAUUAAGUUGGGCACUCUAGUGAGACUGCCGGUGACAAACCGGAGGAAGGUGGGGACGACGUCAGAUCAUCAUGCCCCUUAUGACCUGGGCUACACACGUGCUACAAUGGACGGUACAACGAGUCGCAAGCUCGCGAGAGUAAGCUAAUCUCUUAAAGCCGUUCUCAGUUCGGACUGUAGGCUGCAACUCGCCUACACGAAGUCGGAAUCGCUAGUAAUCGCGGAUCAGCAUGCCGCGGUGAAUACGUUCCCGGGCCUUGUACACACCGCCCGUCACACCAUGGGAGUUUGUAACGCCCAAAGUCGGUGGCCUAACCUUUAUGGAGGGAGCCGCCUAAG